UCUCACUCACUCACGAAACUCACGAAACGAAACCCUACACUAUUUCUCUCCCGAUCUGAGACUAACCCUCACCUCAUCGGCCGCCGUCCCUUGGCUCUCUGUCUCUCUCUCUGCCUCUCUCUCGACUCGUCCCUUGGCUCUCAUCUCGAACCAAACAUCAUCCAAUUUUAUUGGUUUUUGGAGCGAAUCCUUGUAAAUUCUGGAGGGCUCUGGUUCAUUCUAAGUAGUUGUGCUUAGUCUCUAUGGGUUUGGAUUAAUAGGCAAAAUUGAAGUUUCAUCUUUCUUUUUCUUGAAAAUUAUGGUGUGAGGAAGCUGGAAGCAGUGUUCGCGGUUCUGAUUGCAACAAUGGCACUGUCAUUUGCAUGGAUGUUUGGGGAAGCUAAACCCAGUGGCACCGAACUUCUUAUUGGUAUUUUGGUUCCUAAACUUAGCUCCAGAACAAUAAAGCACAUGAGAAAGCAUACAACCCAUGUAAAUAAAACAUGUCACCCUCCCGACUAGUUGUUUAGCGUCGCAGCUGCUGCUGCUGCUGCCUGCUGCUGCUGCUGCCUGCUGCCUGCUGCUGCUGCUGCUGCCUGCUGCCUGCUGCUGCUGCUGCUGCUGCUGCCUCCUGCUGCUGCUGCUACUGCUGGUAUUCUGAGCUUUGAAAGUUUGGAAAAUUUUGUUUAAAUGGAGGUCCGAAGAUAUAGCUUCAUUGCAAUAUGUGCCAAGCAUUGAGGAGAUGGAGUUCUAUGAAUCAAUUGAAAUGGAAAUGGGGAGUAAAACAUCCAUGACAAAUUUGAAUAAGACUCUCCCUUCUUAGUGUGAUUAAGAUAUGUUGGAAGGUUGCUUUGUGAAUGCUUUUGAAAGAAUGGAUGCAGCAGAUUUUUUGCAAGGAUAUUAUCUCUAUGUGUAUUUUUGUGAUGGGUUGUAAUCUUUAAUGUCAUAAGUUUAAUUUGGUUUGUGUAUUAUUUUUUGUAAUGGUUUGUAAGAGAUUAUAUUUCCUUUCCUUGGUUGGUUGGUUGAAUUGAAUGUGUGUAUGUGAGAUUUAUUUAGUUUAGAAACUUAGAUUGGAAUGAUGGAUUUUUAUAGCUUGAAUUUACAUAAUUUCAGGUUUUGAAAGAG